rnacentral:lncRNA from 1 species
AACAAUUCAGAAUCCUAGAACUAAUACUCCCCUAAUCCCUAUUCCUAAGCCUCCCACGGGCUACCGUAAUCCUCCCAUACCCCCCUUUCCUAGUCCUCCAACAGGCUGUCUUAAUCCUUCCGUAAUCCCAAUUCCUAAUCCUGGAACUGAUUGUCCUAAUCCUCCCGUGAUCUCAAUUCCUAAACCUCCAAAAGGUUUUCCUAAUCCUGGAAUUGAUUGUCCUAAUCCUCCCGUAAUCUCAAUUCCUAAACCUCCAACAGGUUGUCCUAAUCCUCCCGUAAUCUCAAUUCCUAAACCUCCAACAGGUUGUCCUAAUCCUCCCGUAAUCUCAAUUCCUAAACCUCCAACAGGCAGCCCUAAUCCCCCCGUAAUCUCAAUUCCUAAACCUCCAACAGGCUUCCCUAAUCCCCCCGUAUUCCCUAUUCCUAAACCUCCAAUUGGUUGCCCUAAUCCUCCAAUCAUAACAAUUCAUAAUCCUAGAACUAACAGCCCUAAUCCUCCUAUAAUCCCUAUUCCCAAACCUCCAACAGGCAGCCCUAAUCCUCCCACCAUCUCCAGUCCACCACCACCACCACCACCAACUGGUUGUGCUACGCUUUCCGGCAAACGUGUGAAAACUGAAAUGGCUUUAUGCUAGUGGGUGACUGAAUCCAACUGCAGAUUACAUUGUUAUGCAUCAUGUAUUUUAUUGUUCAUUGUUUUUGCACAAGUUCUUCAAUUUUUUAACAAUUAUACGUCUGGAACGUGUGUUUUGGUAAUUACAGAAACCUAGUAUCAAAUUGAGUAUGCAGAAGUAGCAAUUCAACAAAAAUGAAGUCUUUUUACCUCAAAAAAAAAAAAAAAUCAUAAUUUGAAACGAUCGUAAAAUACAGAAAUUGCGAUUCAACAUUUAAUAAUUACCUCGUUUGAAGACAUAAUGUACAAUCUUCGCAAUCUCGAUCGCCAUAAUGUAUUCAUCCAACAACAAUUCCAGAACCAAUUUUUUUUUUUUUUUUUUACUUCGAUGAAGAAAAAUAAAACAAUUAAAUAAAAAACCUACUGUGGGCCGAGUUGAAUCAAAUUUCAAAC